UCAGCCCUGAUCGUGGGCGGGGAGGGGAUGUGUGGCAAGGGGGCUUCUAGGCAUUCUGUUGCUGUCUGGGCUUUUCCGGUCAGCUGUUUACAACGGUCUGGACGUUGUCAGUGUCUCAAGAAAGUGCGAUGAGGAGUAACAGUUGGCAUCUAUUGGAGCAAGAGCGCUGGCUGACACCAGGGUCACUUGUGGGGCAGAUGAGCCUGAAGCUCGCCCAGCCUCUCGGUCUGCACCCCUGCUUUCAGGAUGUGGAGGAAGGCUGCCCACAGUGCAUGAGAAAACCACGAACUCAGGUCUAGGACAGUUUGCAAGACAGCUGUCCUGAUGUCUUCACAAAGUUAAUGUCCUAAACAAGGACUGAAUGGAUGAAUAUAUGUAAGAGGAGGGAAUGCAACAUACAAAUCUUGACUGGACCCUGGUUUAAAGAAAAAGCUAAAAAGUCAUUUUGGAAAUAAUUGAGAAAGCUUUCAUACAGACUCUGUGUAGAUUAUGAUGCAGCAGAAGAAUCCUCCACGGGAAAGAAUCACCCGUGAGGGUCCCAACAGGGAAAGAUGCAUCCUGCAUCUCCUACAAGAGAUCGGCCACCUCUGCAAUGUAGCUGAUGAGAAGCCAUCAUCACCCCGAACUCCUGCUUUUCUCCAACGGACGUCUGUUCAAAACAACCUCUUCCAACUUCCUCCUUCUUCCCCAUAAAAUAAAGUUUCUCUCCUUCGUCGGA